GCCAAGCCGGACCAGCGUCGGGACCUUCCUGUGGAAAGCCUCAGCUGCGCGGCGUCUGAGGGCUUCGUGCCCAAAGUGCUAUGCUUCGGCCGGCAAAAAACAGUCAACUCAGAACUGGCACGGACCGGGGGAAUCCGACUGUCUAAUUAAAACAAAGCAUUGCGAUGGCCGCUGGUCGGUGUUGACGCAAUGUGAUUUCUGCCCAGUGCUCUGAAUGUCAACGUGAAGAGAUUCAUCAAAGCGCGGGUAAACGGCGGGAGUAACUAUGACUCUCUUGUGGUAGCCAACUAGCUGGCCAGCUAGCCAACUAUGACUAGUAACUAUGACUCUC
rnacentral:ncRNA from 1 species